AUCUAUACUGUGAAACUGCGAAUGGCUCAUUAAAUCAGUUAUCGUUUAUUUGAUAAUACCUUACUACUUGGAUAACCGUGGUAAUUCUAGAGCUAAUACAUGCUAAAAGCCUCGACUUCGGAAGGGGCGUAUUUAUUAGAUAAAAAACCAAUGCCCUUCGGGGCUCACUGGUGAAUCAUGAUAACUUAACGAAUCGCAUGGCCUUGCGCCGGCGAUGGUUCAUUCAAAUUUCUGCCCUAUCAACUUUCGAUGGUAGGAUAGUGGCCUACCAUGGUAUCAACGGGUAACGGGGAAUUAGGGUUCUAUUCCGGAGAGGGAGCCUGAGAAACGGCUACCACAUCCAAGGAAGGCAGCAGGCGCGCAAAUUACCCAAUCCCGAUUCGGGGAGGUAGUGACAAUAAAUACUGAUACAGGGCUCUUUUGGGUCUUGUAAUUGGAAUGAGUACAAUUUAAAUACCUUAACGAGGAACAAUUGGAGGGCAAGUCUGGUGCCAGCAGCCGCGGUAAUUCCAGCUCCAAUAGCGUAUAUUAAAGUUGUUGCAGUUAAAAAGCUCGUAGUUGAACCUUGGGCCUGGCUGGCCGGUCUGCCUCACCGCAUGUACUGGUUCGGCCGGGUCUUUCCUCCUGGGGAUCCGCAUGCCCUUCACUGGGUGUGUUGGGGAACCAGGACUUUUACUUUGAAAAAAUUAGAGUGUUCAAAGCAGGCCUUUGCUCGAAUACAUUAGCAUGGAAUAAUAGAAUAGGACGUGCGGUCCUAUUUUGUUGGUUUCUAGGACCGCCGUAAUGAUUAAUAGGGAUAGUCGGGGGCAUCAGUAUUCAGUUGUCAGAGGUGAAAUUCUUGGAUUUACUGAAGACUAACUACUGCGAAAGCAUUUGCCAAGGAUGUUUUCAUUAAUCAGUGAACGAAAGUUAGGGGAUCGAAGACGAUCAGAUACCGUCGUAGUCUUAACCGUAAACUAUGCCGACUAGGGAUCGGGCGAUGUUAUUCUUUUGACUCGCUCGGCACCUUACGAGAAAUCAAAGUCU
rnacentral:rRNA from 1 species